UGGAAAUAUUUGCUUUUUAUUAGAUGUGUGUUGCCAUCUUUUGAUCCACAUUGUAUCCCUUGCUAGUGCACACUAUGUGUAAUGAGUAUGUAGCCUUGGAUAAUGAAGCAUGUAUAGCAUAUCAUGUGUGGAACAUUCUAGUCACAGAAUGGGGUUUAGCAAAGGACAGGAAAGCCCAUUGGUCUGCCUUUGGCCUUUUUAAGUGCUUUACUCAGCACUUUCCUCUGCCUAGAAUGGUCUCUCCAUUGAUUGGGGUCCAGAGGCAGAGCAUGUGUAUAAUUUGAUGUAUAGAAUUAGGGAUGUGACGGAGAGCAGUGCAACCCAUCAUGACGGAUGUAACCACAUAUGUGUUUUCUUUUAUGGAAACUUUUUUUUCUCUCCCCCUCUGACUCGGAUGACAAAAGGCUGCUCUCGACUACCCUCGAGUUGUGAAACAUUGGUGUCUGUUGUUCAUUUUCUUCAUUUUGCUUUUUUUCCUCUCUAUUUGUCUCCCCCCCCCCGCCCCCCUUUCUUCUUGUCUUCCGUGAAAGUGACUCUUAUUGAAUUUGAACACAAGUGUUAAUCAUCUCUCUCUCUCUCUGUUUUUCUCUCUCCAUUUCUCUCUCGUUCACAGGUCAGAAAUUUAGACGGCAUUGCACUUAUUCUUGACAACUGCAGCAUUGAUAGCAAAAACCCCUUCAUAAGCCAAUGGGCUAUUUUUGCUAUUCGGAACAUUCUGGAGAACUGUGUGGAGAACCAGGAGGUGGUUCAGGCUCUGAAGAGGCAGGGCGUGGCUGAUGACUCCAUCCUAAAGGAGAUGGGCUACAAGAUGGAGGAUCGGGACGGCAACAUGCUUCUCCGACCUCUCAAGAAGGACCAUUAGUUCCCCUGGGGGGCGGGGGGCGGGGGGGGGGGAGGGAAGAGAGAGGUGACAUGCCUGAGCGGACAGGAAUGCCAUCAGGAGGUGCCGGUCCAGAGUAAGAGCUCUUGACUCUGUUGGCUUAAUGUAUGUCUUGAGUCAUGUAAGGGCUUGGGGACACCAGCAGGACCUUGUGUACACUAGAGGGACACUGAUCUCCGUUGCUGAUGUUCCUUAUUCUCUGAAUGGUUAAUAGGCAGUAGAGGCUCAGGCUCCCACUCAGGUAUCCACUCAUGUUACAGUCAGGGGAAGUUUCUACUCAGGGUCAACAGUGCUCUUAAAUGACAAGUCAAGUCGUCAAAUGUAUUUAUAAAGGCACAUUCCAGGAUGAUCUUAGUAAGUAGCAGUGAUGGGGACUACUUUUGUGAUCAGUUGUACAAGGGACCUCUCUUUCCUGAGACACGUGUUGUUUUGGAAUGAUUGCAGUUUAUUUUCCAGAAGAACAAUCUUAAACUCAUCUCUUUGCUACAUCAUUUCUAAGAAUCCAGCUGAAGAAAACCAACUUUUAACAUCAAACAGGAGUUGAUCUGUGCAUACAUCUGCAUUAACUUUAGCUCACGCCAGAGCACAGUCCCUAUUGGUUCCACUUGUAUUGUCUCCAAUUGGAUCUAGUCAAGAACUGUAAAUGGAUUGAAGUCUUCACGCAGGCAUAAAUCAGACAGUGUGUGUUCUCAUUUCACUGGGUGUCAUAUGGCAGAUGCCUCCUGACUCCCGACUCCUGGCUCAAUCUGGAACAACAGAGCUCAAAGUGAAUCAGACCAGAAGCAUUAGCUCGCAGAAUGACAGCCCUGCCCCAUGAAUAAGCUGAGUUGUCCUGACACCUCUACAAUGCCCUGCUUUACAGACUGGUCCUCUCGCUCACUCCCCCUGUUUUCUCUGCCUCAUAUUUUUUAAUGACAAAAUGUUUGUCUGAAACAAUCAGGUUUACUUUCCCCAAUCCGGCGUAUAGUGUGGGGAGCUUAUUGCGGUUCCGGUCCCCAGGAUUUCAGACGGCUAACAAAACACAUCUUUACUUCUGCUCUGCUGGCUGCCUGCAAUGCUUUUCACACACAGGAAAACCAGUGCUAGUGCUGGCUGGCUGACUGAGGUGGAGCCGGUGCCUUUGGAGCGUUCACAGGGCAUCACAGGGCAUCACAGGGCAUCACAGCAGACAGGAGCAAAGAUGCAAUAGAUCAGCAUUUACAAAUCUCACCCUCAAGUUUUUAUUAUUAUUAUUAUUAUUAUUAAUAUUAUUAUUUUGUACUGGUAUGCGCCCAAACUCAUGCCAUCCCAAUUGUGUGUGUGUGAAACAAUAUAUGAUUUUCAAAACAUGUUUCCAUCGCUUCCAAUAAAAUACUGAAACCCUUUCAAUA